UACAGAGGGGGCAAGCGUUGUUCGGAAUUACUGGGCGUAAAGGGCGCGUAGGCGGCCCGCUAAGUCGAACGUGAAAUCCCCGAGCUCAACUCGGGAACUGCGUCCGAUACUGGAAGGCUUGAAUCCGGGAGAGGGAUGCGGAAUUCCAGGUGUAGCGGUGAAAUGCGUGGAUAUCAAGAGGAACACUCGUGGCGAAAGCGAGCUACUGGACAACUCCUGACGCUGAGGCUCGAAGGCCAGGGUAGCGAAAGGG
rnacentral:rRNA from 1 species